CUCGAAGUCGCUGAGCACGAUCAUGGGGCGGCUGCCCACGAAGAGGCUGAAGACGCUGCCGUAGACCUUGGCCAUGCCGGUCAGGAGCAGGUGGAUUUUUCAUUGUCCUCUCCUGUCUUCUGAACCCGCGAAUAUUUUUUGCAUGAAGAUUUGAAGCAGCUGGGAGGCCAAGAUAUUGGCCAUGAGAAGCAGCAAGGAACUGAGCCUUGUAUAUUCUUCUCAAAGAAAUAAAAUAUCGGAUACCACCAUG